rnacentral:rRNA from 1 species
AGUGAACGCUGGCGGUAGACCUAACACAUGCAAGUCGAACGGCAGCACAGUAAGAGCUUGCUCUUACGGGUGGCGAGUGGCGGACGGGUGAGGAAUACAUCGGAAUCUACUUUUUCGUGGGGGAUAACGUAGGGAAACUUACGCUAAUACCGCAUACGACCUACGGGUGAAAGCAGGGGAUCUUCGGACCUUGCGCGAUUGAAUGAGCCGAUGUCGGAUUAGCUAGUUGGCGGGGUAAAGGCCCACCAAGGCGACGAUCCGUAGCUGGUCUGAGAGGAUGAUCAGCCACACUGGAGCUGAGACACGGUCCAGACUCCUACGGGAGGCAGCAGUGGGGAAUAUUGGACAAAGGGCGCAAGCCUGAUCCAGCCAUACCGCGUGGGUGAAGAAGGCCUUCGGGUUGUAAAGCCCUUUUGUUGGGAAAGAAAAGCAGCAGGUUAAUACCCCGCUGUUCUGACGGUACCCAAAGAAUAAGCACCGGCUAACUUCGUG